rnacentral:rRNA from 1 species
UACAGAGGUCUCAAGCGUUGUUCGGAUUCAUUGGGCGUAAAGGGUGUGUAGGUGGCGCCGUAAGUCGGGUGUGAAAUUUCGGAGCUUAACUCCGAAACUGCAUUCGAUACUGCGGUGCUUGAGGACUGGAGAGGAGACUGGAAUUCCUGGUGUAGCGGUGAAAUGCGCAGAUAUCAGGAGGAACACCAAUGGCGAAGGCAGCACUCUGGGACGUGACUGACGCUGAGACGCGAAAGCGUGGGUAGCAAACAGG